rnacentral:rRNA from 1 species
UUUUAUGGAGAGUUUGAUCCUGGCUCAGGAUGAACGCUGGCGGCGUGCCUAAUACAUGCAAGUCGAGCGAACGGACGAGAAGCUUGCUUCUCUGAUGUUAGCGGCGGACGGGGGGGUAAAACGCGGAAAACCUACCUAUAAGACUGGGUUAACUUCGGGGAACC